rnacentral:rRNA from 1 species
GUGAUAGCUGGUUCUCUCCGAAAUAUAUUUAGGUAUAGCGUUGUGUCGUAAUAUAAGGGGGUAGAGCACUGAAUGGGCUAGGGCAUACACCAAUGUACCAAACCCUAUCAAACUCCGAAUACCUUAUAUGUAAUCACAGCAGUCAGGCGGCGAGUGAUAAAAUCCGUCGUCAAGAGGGAAACAACCCAGACUACCAGCUAAGGUCCCUAAAUCUUACUUAAGUGGAAAACGAUGUGAAGUUACUUAAACAACCAGGAGGUUGGCUUAGAAGCAGCCAUCCUUUAAAGAAAGCGUAAUAGCUCACUGGUCUAGUGAUUUUGCGCGGAAAAUAUAACGGGGCUAAAGUAAGUACCGAAGCUGUAGACUUGCGCACAACUUAGAUUAUUUAAGUUUAGAAUAUGAGAAACUAAGUUAUAUUUUUACUGAUUUUUAUAGAGUAAAGAUAGAAAUAAAACUUAGUAAAAUCAGUAAAAAUAUUCUUAGGCUAAAGUUAAGUAGUUUAAGUUGUGUGCAAGUGGUAGGAGAGCGUUCUAUUUGCGUCGAAGGUAUACCGGUAAGGAGUGCUGGAGCGAAUAGAAGUGAGCAUGCAGGCAUGAGUAGCGAUAAUUAAUGUGAGAAUCAUUAACGCCGUAAACCCAAGGUUUCCUACGCGAUGCUCGUCAUCGUAGGGUUAGUCGGGUCCUAAGUCGAGUCCGAAAGGGGUAGACGAUGGCAAAUUGGUUAAUAUUCCAAUACCAACAUUAGUGUGCGAUGGAAGGACGCUUAGGGCUAAGGGGGCUAGCGGAUGGAAGUGCUAGUCUAAGGUCGUAGGAGGUUAUACAGGCAAAUCCGUAUAACAAUACUCCGAGAACUGAAAGGCUUUUUGAAGUCUUCGGAUGGAUAGAAGAACCCCUGAUGCCGUCGAGCCAAGAAAAGUUUCUAAGUUUAGCUAAUGUUGCCCGUACCGUAAACCGACACAGGUGGGUGGGAUGAGUAUUCUAAGGCGCGUGGAAGAACUCUCUUUAAGGAACUCUGCAAAAUAGCACCGUAUCUUCGGUAUAAGGUGUGGUUAGCUUCGUACUAGGAUUUACUCCGAAAGCGAAGAAACUUACAACAAAGAGUCCCUCCCGACUGUUUACCAAAAACACAGCACUCUGCUAACUCGUAAGAGGAUGUAUAGGGUGUGACGCCUGCCCGGUGCUCGAAGGUUAAUUGAUGGGGUUAGCAUUAGCGAAGCUCUUGAUCGAAGCCCGAGUAAACGGCGGCCGUAACUAUAACGGUCCUAAGGUAGCGAAAUUCCUUGUCGGUUAAAUACCGACCUGCAUGAAUGGCGUAACGAGAUGGGAGCUGUCUCAAAGAGGGAUCCAGUGAAAUUGUAGUGGAGGUGAAAAUUCCUCCUACCCGCGGCAAGACGGAAAGACCCCGUGGACCUUUACUACAGCUUGACACUGCUAUUUGGAUAAGAAUGUGCAGGAUAGGUGGGAGGCUUUGAGUAUAUGACGCCAGUUGUAUAGGAGCCAUUGUUGAGAUACCACUCUUUCUUAUUUGGGUAGCUAACCAGCUUGAGUUAUCCUCAAGUGGGACAAUGUCUGGUGGGUAGUUUGACUGGGGCGGUCGCCUCCCAAAUAAUAACGGAGGCUUACAAAGGUUGGCUCAGAACGGUUGGAAAUCGUUCAUAGAGUAUAAAGGUAUAAGCCAGCUUAACUGCAAGACAUACAAGUCAAGCAGAGACGAAAGUCGGUCUUAGUGAUCCGGUGGUUCUGUGUGGAAGGGCCAUCGCUCAAAGGAUAAAAGGUACCCCGGGGAUAACAGGCUGAUCUCCCCCAAGAGCUCACAUCGACGGGGAGGUUUGGCACCUCGAUGUCGGCUCAUCGCAUCCUGGGGCUGGAGCAGGUCCCAAGGGUAUGGCUGUUCGCCAUUUAAAGCGGUACGCGAGCUGGGUUCAGAACGUCGUGAGACAGUUCGGUCCCUAUCUGCCGUGGGCGUAAGAAGAUUGAAGAGAUUUGACCCUAGUACGAGAGGACCGGGUUGAACAAACCACUGGUGUAGCUGUUGUUCUGCCAAGAGCAUCGCAGCGUAGCUAAGUUUGGAAAGGAUAAACGCUGAAAGCAUCUAAGCGUGAAGCCAACUCUAAGAUGAAUCUUCUCUAAGCUCUCUAGAAGACUACUAGUUUGAUAGGCUGGGUGUGUAAUGGAUGAAAGUCCUUUAGCUGACCAGUACUAAUAGAGCGUUUGGCUUAUCUUUAAUAAAGCAU